AGGCUAAGAAAUACUGAUAGAAGUGGCCAGCAUCUCCAUGAACGAGGCUGCUGUGCAGACUGUGCAUCUGGGUCUUGGAUGCUUCUCCUCCCUGCAUAACUAGUAACUAGCCCACUGACUUUCAGAUGCACCCUAGUUUGGACAAUAGAAAAUAAUCAGCCUACUUACUGUGCCUAUCUGCAGAAAAACACCGUGAUUCUCUGCCUUGCCCAUAUUGUACGAUAACUUCACAUUUCAGAGAAGAAAUUAGUCUAGCUACAUGAUGAUGAAUGUAUCCUGUUAGGACACCUGUGAAUUUUAUCUUCACUCACACCUUUCUUCCAGCUAGUUCGUAGCAAACCAGGCUCUUGUAUUGGCCCCUGGCUUCAGGCAUACUUAGGAAUUCAGAUGGGUUAUUAUGUUAGUUUCUAAAAGCAUUUUAGUUCAGAUAUAUGCUUGGUGUGGGUGAACCUCUCCUGUGCCUCAGAAAUUCUCAUCAAAGCACAUAGUGUCUUUCUCAUUCAUGUCUUUCCUCCUUCAAAGACAGAGUCCCAGCAGCACUUUCAUUGAGAUGGUGAAAAUGAGAUACUAUUUUAGUGCAUACGGAGAGAUGAUUUGCAGUUUAUUUGAAUUAGAUAAAUGAAAUCAAAAGGGCCCAGAAGAAAGUUGAGACUCCGCCAUAUGGAGAAGCUCUUGUGCAGUUUGAAGGGCUUCUGUGGUCUUAAUAGAGAAGAGAACUGAGCCACCUAGAUCUAGCACUGUGUACCUCUCUGUCCUUCCUGCCACUGCCCCGUGUGGACUUUGCUCACUGAAGGCACAGGUGACAGUGUCUGCAGAUGUUUCGGCUGCCACUACUUGGGGGUGUGGGUGGAGGCCAGGGAUGCUUGUCACAUGCACAGGACGGCCCCACACAGGGAAUUACCCAGCCCAAAUGUCCACAGUGCCGCUGUUGAAAAACCGCCGUGUGGAAUGAACCUUUUGUCCCAGAAAAUAGGUAUAAGUAAUGGUAUCUCUAGGGCUGACGUUUGGGACUCUUGGAAUAUCCCAAAGGGCAAUUUGGAUGGAGGGUCUCGGAGGCCACGGCUGUGCCCACCAUGAUGUCCGUGGCAGGACCCGGUGCAGGAUUUGCCAGCAUCAUGAGAAGGACGUGUCCAUACUUGGGGCAGUGUGUCCACCCUGCGUGGGCCGGCCAGCCUCUGCUCACGAGGCUGUGAACGCUCACACAGCACCUGGAAAGGGUGGUAUCUCAGAGGUGCUUUUCUGGGUUACUUUUGUUCUGAGGUAAGAGAGGGCAGCAGGUGGACCCCGAUGGGCUGCAGAAGCUGGUUCGAGGCAGGGACUGAUUACAUAAGUGUUGGCGGUGACCCCGUCAAGUUUGGUGUUUGUUAUAAACCCUGCUUUCCGGCUGGGCGCAGUGGCUCAAGCCUGUAAUCCCAGCACUUUGGGAGGCCGAGACGGGCGGAUCACGAGGUCAG